rnacentral:tRNA from 101 species
GCCCCCUUAGCUCAGUCGGCAGAGCGUUUCCAUGGUAAGGAAAAGGUCGACAGUUCGAUUCUGUCAGGGGGCUCCA